rnacentral:rRNA from 1 species
CUCACGCCGGUCUAAACUCAGAUCAUGUAAAAUUUUAAAGGUCGAACAGACCCGAAUUAUUAGCUUCUACACCAAUAAUAAAUUUUAAUCCAACAUCGAGGUCGCAAUCUUCUUUUUCGAUAAGAACUCUCAAAAAAAUCACGCUGUUAUCCCUGAGGUAAUUUAAUCUUUUAAUCUUCAAUUAAGGAUCAUAAAUCUAUUAAUUUAUAUAAAAAUAAAAAAAAAGUUCUUCUAAUUUUUCUAUCACCCCAACAAAAUAAAUAAAAACAAGUUAAUCUAAAAUUCCUAAUCUAAAACACACUACUAUUCAUACAAACUCUACAGGGUCUUCUCGUCUUCUAUAAAAAUUUAAGCUUUUUCACUUAAAAAUAAAGUUUUAAUAAAUUUCACUAGAGACAGCCAUUUUUUCAUCAAACCUUUCAUUCAAGCUUUCAAUUAUAAAACUAAUGAUUAUGCUACCUUUGCACGGUCAGUAUACCGCGGCCAUUAAACUACUCAGUGGGCAGGUCAGACCUGAAAUCAUAUUCAACAGGCCAUGUUUUUAAUAAC